CUCCUUUCCCUCUCUGUUCUAUAAAAGAAACUGGCAUCUGGACCUCAAAAGAAGGCUUUUUGGAGACACGAGUCUACUAUCAUCUCGAUCUGCCAGCUACCCCAAUGAAUUUUACAGAAGGCCCUCUCCCUGAGAAAGUGUGGAGGAGGAAGGGAUGAGAGAAGCCCCACCUUGCCACAGAUAACAGGCACCAGAAUAGUGGUGUGAAUAUAGUUCUGGGAAAUGACUGAGAACCUGGAGGUAGCAUCAUGGAAGACUUCAUGGAAGAGGUGAUGUUUGUUGAGUGGGAUACUUGUGCUCACCACUGGGCUGUAUACAGUCAAGUUAUGGUUAUGUACACAGUUAUGGCUGUAUACAGUCAAGCUAUGGCUCCUGUCCUGAAAACAUUCUGAGUCCAGCCAAGGAGAUAAACAUGCAUGAAAUAAAGAACAGAACAACC